rnacentral:rRNA from 1 species
UAGGGAAUCUUCGGCAAUGGACGAAAGUCUGACCGAGCAACGCCGCGUGAGUGAAGAAGGUUUUCGGCUCGUAAAACUCUGUUGUUAGAGAAGAACAAGGACGUUAGUAACUGAACGUCCCCUGACGGUAUCUAACCAGAAAGCCACGGCUAACUACGUGCCAGCAGCCGCGGUAAUACGUAGGUGGCAAGCGUUGUCCGGAUUUAUUGGGCGUAAAGCGAGCGCAGGCGGUUUCUUAAGUCUGAUGUGAAAGCCCCCGGCUCAACCGGGGAGGGUCAUUGGAAACUGGGAGACUUGAGUGCAGAAGAGGAGAGUGGAAUUCCAUGUGUAGCGGUGAAAUGCGUAGAUAUAUGGAGGAACACCAGUGGCGAAGGCGGUUCUCUGGUCUGUAACUGACGCUGAGGCUCGAAAGCGUGGGGAGCAAACAGG